rnacentral:rRNA from 1 species
GAUGAACGCUGGCGGCGUGCCUAAUACAUGCAAGUCGAGCGAAUGGAUUAAGAGCUUGCUCUUAUGAAGUUAGCGGCGGACGGGUGAGUAACACGUGGGUAACCUGCCCAUAAGACUGGGAUAACUCCGGGAAACCGGGGCUAAUACCGGAUAACAUUUUGAACCGCAUGGUUCGAAAUUGAAAGGCGGCUUCGGCUGUCACUUAUGGAUGGACCCGCGUCGCAUUAGCUAGUUGGUGAGGUAACGGCUCACCGAGGCAACGAUGCGUAGCCGACCUGAGAGGGUGAGCGGCCACACUGGGAGUGAGACACGGCCCAGACUCCUACGGGAGGCAGCAGUAGGGAAUCUUCCGCAAUGGACGAAAGCCUGACGGAGCAACGCCGCGUGAGUGAUGAAGGCUUUCGGGUCGUAAAACUCUGUUGUUAGGGAAGAACAAGUGCUAGUUGAAUAAGCUGGCACCUUGACGGUACCUAACCAGAAAGCCACGGCUAACUACGUGCCAGCCGCCGCCGUAA